GUAAAUGGAACUGCGUCAGAGAGCCAGGCUGAAGGCGAAGCAAAUACAACCCAGCGGGACUUUCCACUGCGUUGGGCAAUAGGCUUCUGUGUCACAUCACGUCGCUAUAACUCCUUAUAGUAUUCUCAACCAAACCACCGAGUUUGUUUAAGUUACUGUGAAAAAAAAGAUGGAAAAAAAAGGUAAACAAAAGCACGAUAAGGCCAGGGGAUGCCGUGCGAAGGGACAACUUGGAAUAGGAUGCUGCGCAAGAGAUGGAUAGUGCGUUAUCACUGAAGGAGCGGGCGAUGUUACGCAGUACUUCUUGGCACGGACACAUCGCACAUCACUUUCUUGUUUUUCCCUUUCCUAUGACGCACAGUUAUGCAUGUUCUUCACGCGGCGGACAUAACAACAGCCGUGAUAUCCAUAUGUAGGGACGGGUUACUUUACUUGUGUUGCUCUGUAACGAGUUCGUCUGUCAAAGCGUGCCUGAGUGACGUGACUUAUUUUUAAUUCAUAUUUUUAACAAGUCAGACAUAUGCAGCUUAAAUCUAGCCUAGGGAGUAUUUAGAAGGAAACGUCAAAUAGAGUGCGCACUUAGAAUGAUGUAAACAAGCCCUCCCCACCGCCGAUAGGGGGUGCUGUUUCACCACUCACUGUUUUGGUGCUGCGUGGUGUUUACAUAAAAUCUCUUCCUUAUUGUUGCACCGUCACGUUUACAUUCUCACCGAUCAGCUCGAAAGAAUCGAUCUCCUGACACAUCCCGAAAUUACGGGGAUGUAUAAUACAAGUCCAUACAUGAACAUGUUAAAAAAAGAAGAAGGUUUUUGUUUUAUGUUGUUUAGGCACGGAUAAUUGAGUGGGUUCGAGAGGCACUUGAAGGGGAUGUGUGUGUCCGUGUGGCGGGCCGUGUAAUCCACACCUGUCCUUAGUCAGGGGGCACGGCAUGCCUGUUCCUACGUCGCUAAUGUUGACAGUGUGGGGCGGUUUUUCUCCAUUGACUUCCUAAUGACCCAAGUGGACUGGAGGGAAGGUGUGGCACCCCCCCCCUCCUCCCUCCCUUCCUCCCUCUGCUUACCUCCGGAGGUGGGACACACACACACACAUGCACACGCACACGCACAAACACACACACACACACACACACACACACACACACACACACACACACACACACACACACACACACACACACACACACACACACACACACACACACACACAGAGAACGAUUAGUGAAGAGAGAGGCACCUGUCUUUUCCCGAACUGGGUUCGUUCGGUCACUGGGUGAAGCAGCAUGGAUCGUUAUGAUUGGCUAACCACACACCAGCAGGGUGGGUGUGUGUGUGUGGGGGAGUGGAGAGAGAGAGAGAGAGAGAGAGAGAGAGAGAGAGAGAGAACAAGGAAGUAAACAGCAGAGUAAAGCGGCGCGGAGGAUGGGAAUCUUUUGACCUGUUACCUGAACAACGAGCUGGUUCUGAAAGGGGAAUCUGAUCGGGACAGUUUCAACAAACAAACAGCUAAAGGUCAUACUGGGAGAGAGAGAGAGAGAGAGAGUGAGAGAGGGCGAGAAAGAACGUCACUCGGCCAACCAAAAGCAGUCCUACAUGUGAAAAAACCAUCCCAUAAUACGGGCCGGUCGCGACCAAAACUUCCAACUGUCUGUUUCCAGUCAUUUCAGUGAAAAAAACAUUACGAAGAACAAGCUCAGUGCGGCUCUAAUAAGGAAGACGCGGUUGAGGUUCUUGUGUUGUUUACCCUCCCUCCUUCCUCAGAGCUCCAACUCCUGACCCAGUUUGCCGGCCACCGCGGGGUGACCUCAAUAGCUGUUUGGAUAUUCUUCCUGGGAGGGAAGAAGAAGAAGAGGCCUAGAAGCCUCAUAAACACAGGAGGAGAAGACAAUUACAGAACCGGCGAGGAAUGCGUCCUAAGUGCUCUCAUUGGUGGAGGAACAGAACAAACGCUUUGUUCGUCUAAUGGACAAGAUUUGAUGGCCUUUUGUGUCCUGAAAAUGGGGACAGUAUGAGAUGAGUUUCCGUCUACGACAGCAUCUGUAAGUUGAUAUUUAUUUAUUGACACUAUUUGCCUCUUCUUAUUCCACACAUAAGCUGACUCUUGUAACUCUUCAGACAUUUAUUUGAUUUAUUUUAAAUUAGUAGUGAGACGCAGAGUUGCAUCCAUCUCUUCGAAAUCGUGAUCAUAAAAGAAAAUGCAUCUAAAAUCUCCUGAAAACAUUCUCCCCUUCCACUCUCCCCCUCUCCCCCUACAGCCACCCACACGCUCAGGUCACACACUUUCGGUUUCUGUUUCAUCUUCUCAAACACAGCACAGCAGUAGAACUUGAAGAUUCAACCCAUGUUUAGCCCCGCCCUGAUAUCCGGUUCCACUUGGAAAAUGCAUCGUAAAAGGGGACAACGGAUGUGAUUUCACUCCUCCAGUCAACACUUCCAUGUCAGUCAUCCCACUGCUUGUGUGGACCUGAAAGUGCGCCACAUCUAUUGGCAUAAGAACCCCGGAUUUACCUUUUUACUAAUAAGUCCUUUUUUCAGAGGCUGAAAUCAACACGACAAAGUCAUUAUAGUGAAUUCCUAUACAUAUAGUGAAUUCCUAUACAGGUUGGACAACUGGCCCGAGGCAGAUAGGGAGAGACGUCAGAGAUCGAACACAGAACCCACACAGCUAUCACGUGCUCCAUCAUGACAGGACAACAGCAAGGCCUACCAACCAAUCAGGAAGCAACCUCUGACGAGCCUUCGGUCACAUGACCUAGAUCCGCAUCCAUGACCUUGGCGUCCACGUCGGCCAUGGAUGAACUGCCACGGCCCACUGCUGCGUGACACGGUACCGAUUGAUUCGGAGAGGUAUUCAUUACCUUCAGCAGCGGUUGGGAGGGGUCGGCCCAAGCGUUGGUUUGACCCACUCAACCGCUGACAAAUCAGGACCCCUAAUCUAACCAUCUAAGAGGAUUAACUACGUUGGCUUUACACAUGCGCUGACACGCUCAUACUGUCACACUCUGCUCUUUUAAUCACACACACACACACACACACAAACAUGCUCAUACACACUGGCACACAUGCGCCCACACGCUCAUAUGUUCACAGACACAAACAAGCACUCACAGAGACACUGAAAACACACACUGGUACACAUUCAGAGAGAUGCUCACAUCAUUGUUAAACGCAUCGUUUUAAUCUCGCAUAAUGUAAUGGAUUUAAUGACAUGGAUAUUGAACACAUAUCUCACCUGUAUCAACAACUAGGAACUUUGACCUACCGAACCUUCAGCAUUUUGAAUUCACUUAAAUACAGUAGAGAGAGAAAUGCAGAUAGAGAGUGGCAGAGAGAGUAGCAAAGAGAGAGAGAUACAUGAAGAGAGGCAGAGAGAGAGAGGCAGAGAGAGAGAGGCAGAUAGAGGGAGGCAGAGAUUGAGAGGCAGAGAGAGAUAAAGAGAGGCAGGUAGAGAGAAAGAUGCAGGAAGAGAGAGAGAGGGAGAAAGAAAGACAAAGAGAAGCAGAGAGAGAGGCAGAGAGAGAAGCAGAGGGAGGCAGAGAGAGUAGCAGAGAGACAGACAGAAAAGCAGAGAGAGAGAGAGAGAGAGAGAGAGGCAAAUAGAGAGGCAGAUAGAGGGAGAGAGAGAGGCAGAUAGAGAGAGAUGCAGAGAGAGAGAAGCAGAGAGAGAAGUAGAGAGCGAGAGAGAAGAGAGAGAAGCAGAGAGAGAGAGAGAGAGAGCACGCAGUAGCAAGAGACGGUUCAUAAAUAGCUAUAUUUGACAGGAGGGAGGGAUGAGCCUCAUGACAGAUGAGAGACUGCCUGUUGUCUGCUCAGUAACUCAGGUCCAUGCCGCAGUCACAGCGACCUCAAGAAAAAACUCCCAGAGGAUAUUUUCAGCUCUUAAACAAACAAACAAAGACUGGCCUAUUUGAUUCAAACACUCCAACAGUAUCCAAAAAUAGAACUUCACCAAUACCACAGAGAUGCUCAGUCACAGGUUAUUGCUUCUUUUAAAGAGAAGCAAUGUAGUUUUUUAAUUUAGUGGCUGCGUCACUUCUUCACAAUAACAAGAGACCGGCGUCAGAUUGGAGCUGUAGACGCGUGCAGUUUGGUACCUUUUCCCUUUUAAAUGUUAACAGCUAUGCUCCCCGCAAUGGUUGCCAUGGUGAAGUCCGAGGGGCAGCAGAAACUGCGCAAUCAUUUUUUUCCUUUACUUGAAGUAAAUCCAAAUACAAAGAGGGCUUCAGGACAAGUGGUCUAAACCUGGCAAGAACAACACAAUGUGCUCUGGAUCU
ensembl:lncRNA